rnacentral:lncRNA from 1 species
GGGGACUAGGAGAUGAAAGACGGACCUGAACCGGAGCAGAGAGGUAGAGCUAGCCACUUGGUGGAAGGGAGAAAGAGGGAAGAAGAGAUCGGCCAUUCCAGAAGGGGAGGAGAGGAGAUAACACGCUCGAGAAGGUGCAGGACAGAGAGCAUAACUGCCAGGGGGAAGCUUUAAGACCUCGCUACCGGUUAGCACAUCAGAGGCAGAGCCCGGAAGUCUACCUGUCCUGAGGACUUCAUGCUGUUGUGGAGUUUCCCUUCAAGGUCAGCACAUCCCUUAUAAUCCGUGGGCUGUAUGAAAACUCUUCCGGUCCCUCCCUAGGCGGCAUCAUCGGUACUGUAGUAAACUUAGGUUGAGAUGCUCUUGCUGGUGGUUUUGAUGUGGAAAAUCUUAGGGAACAGUUUGAAAUUCAGAAAGGCACAGUCUUUUGAAGACAGGAAACAAGAACAAUGACCGCCCAGCUAAUACUAGCUGAUGUGCCUCUCUUGCUGAAGGUAGGCUGGCUUCAAGGUGAUGACUAAUGUCUUCUACUCAUUUUUACCCUCAGAUUCAUGACAGGAUUUAUAAAAAAAAAUUGUUAAUAAGUAGAUGUAUGCCCUGAGGAUUUACAGUAAUAAGGACUGUUUUAUAUGAAGGUUUAAAUUUGUGAUGCUCUUAAGAUUUUUAUAAGAUUAUAUCUUCAGAUGGACAAUAAAACAAUUGCAGGAUGUUGAUAAGAGAAACUGGCUGAGAAAAUUACCUUUCUUGCUUACACUUUGGCAAUGUAACAAGUUGGUUGGUUACGAAUGUAUAUGGGCUCUCGAGAAUAGUUUGGUUUGGUUUGGUUUAUCCAUAACAUGUAAAACAUUGAUCAUGUGUGAGGUGUUGGGAAACAUGUUUUUCCC